GAAUUUAUUUUUAUUAGAAAUUGCAAACGUCGUACGUACUAAAGUAUACACUAUCGAAAAAUCAUGUAUACGCAAUAAUUAUGACGAAUGCAAAAAAAAAAAAAAGUAUACAUGAGCUCCGAUUUUAGUCUUUCUUUCACAUAUCUUUAUCAGAGGAACAUGCAUGGCCAACACAAUUAACACGUCCUUCUUCUUCUUU
rnacentral:lncRNA from 1 species